rnacentral:rRNA from 1 species
UCUGGCUCAGGACGAACGCUGGCGGCGUGCUUAACACAUGCAAGUCGAGCGGUAAGGCCCUUUCGGGGUACACGAGCGGCGAACGGGUGAGUAACACGUGGGUGAUCUGCCCUGCACUUCGGGAUAAGCCUGGGAAACUGGGUCUAAUACCGGAUAUGACCUCCUAUCGCAUGGUGGGUGGUGGAAAGAUUUAUCGGUGCAGGAUGGGCCCGCGGCCUAUCAGCUUGUUGGUGGGGUAAUGGCCUACCAAGGCGACGACGGGUAGCCGACCUGAGAGGGUGACCGGCCACACUGGGACUGAGACACGGCCCAGACUCCUACGGGAGGCAGCAGUGGGGAAUAUUGCACAAUGGGCGAAAGCCUGAUGCAGCGACGCCGCGUGAGGGAUGACGGCCUUCGGGUUGUAAACCUCUUUCAGCAGGGACGAAGCGCAAGUGACGGUACCUGCAGAAGAAGCACCGGCUAACUACGUGCCAGCAGCCGCGGUAAUACGUAGGGUGCAAGCGUUGUCCGGAAUUACUGGGCGUAAAGAGUUCGUAGGCGGUUUGUCGCGUCGUUUGUGAAAACCAGCAGCUCAACUGCUGGCUUGCAGGCGAUACGGGCAGACUUGAGUACUGCAGGGGAGACUGGAAUUCCUGGUGUAGCGGUGAAAUGCGCAGAUAUCAGGAGGAACACCGGUGGCGAAGGCGGGUCUCUGGGCAGUAACUGACGCUGAGGAACGAAAGCGUGGGUAGCGAACAGGAUUAGAUACCCUGGUAGUCCACGCCGUAAACGGUGGGCGCUAGGUGUGGGUUCCUUCCACGGAAUCCGUGCCGUAGCUAACGCAUUAAGGCGCCCCCCGCG